UUUUUUUUUUCAUUUUUAGUAAGUUAGUCAGUCGGUCGUUGAAACGUUUAAUAGAACAACUUGAUAUUAGAUUGUCGUAUAGAGUUUUUGUUUAAGUUUUAUGACAACUGCUGCAGCGAUCGCUUACAGAUCGAACGUUUAGUUGUUCUGGCGUUGUAAAUUUUUCGUUUAGGAUUAAUGUGUGUUACUUUUGUUUUUUUUUUUUGCUUUUCGCUGUAUUGUUUGUUUGUUUUUAUUAUUAUUUUUUUUCGAUCUUGUGGUGUUCGGCUGCGAAAUAAAUAUUAAAAUAUACAACUACAGCGUCGUUAUUGUUGACUAUAAACGACGAUAACGUCGUCAUUAGUGUCUUCGUCGACGCUGUUUAGUCGUACAAGCAGACAAUAUUUGUUGGUUUUACGUAUGAAAACCUACAAAAAUUGUAUAUUUUGACUUUCUGAGACGUUAACGGAGAAAUUUUCGAUCAGUUUAAGUUUUUCAUUUGCCCCGAACACAACAAGCAAAAGAAAAUUUACGAUAUUCACAAAAUAACAACAAACAGCAGCCACUAAUUGUUUUUUAUUAUUAUUAAAAUAAAAUAUUAUUAAUUAUACAAUAUUGUUAACAAAAAAAUAGAGAAAAAAGAAAAUAACGAAAAAUUUUAAGAAGAAAAAGCGUGUAAAACCCGGGCGUUAUAAAGCCAAAGUUUUUCCUUUAAAAAAUUAUUUUAUUGAAAAGCACAGAAAGUGCUAAUUUUUUACAGUGUAAAACGAAAAGUAAAAAAAAAACGGGAGCAAAUUAAUGCAAAUGUCUUGUAAAUGAUUUUAAUUUUUCAAAAAUUUUUUAACGAAACCCAAAAUAAAAAAUAAAAACAAAUAUAUAAUUAAACCGUUAUAACAACAAAACAUAAAUUUAACGAAAAUAUAAUAACAGCAACAACAACAGCCAAUAAAUAGCGAUCAAUGCACCAAAGUUGUUUUUUAUAAAAAAUAAAUAUAUAUUCUGAAAAGGUUUUAAAGUUGAUUAAAUUCAAUAAAUUAAAGUGAAUUUUUAAAAAUUACAACCAAAAAAAACCAACAAAAUAAAAACAACAAUUUAGGAAGUUGAAAAAUUAAUGGUAAUUUGUUAAAAAGUGCGUUUGAUAAUUAUAGAAAAAAAGUGCGUUUAUGUAAAACGAAAGUUUAACGAAAAUUAAAGAAAUUUUUUAAAAAUAUAUUAAUAAAAAUAAAUAAAAGUUUGUGUUUUAAAUCUUGAAAUGUGACUAAUAUUUCUUAAUACAUUAACAACAACAAAUUGUUUUAACUGCAAAACUUAACUAAAAAAAAAGAAAAGAUAAAUAAACUAAUAAAAUAAAAACUGAAACAGCAAAACGAAAACUAAUUAUUAUAAAACAAAAAGUUAUACCGGCCGGCAAGAUCCAUAUACUCCUUUAUUUAGCCUGUAUCCACUAGAUACACUAUGCAGACUAUAUAACUAGUCUGCACUGUCACUGCUCUGUGGAGUAUCUGCAACAGCACCGAAUUUAUAGACAUAUAGAAUUUACUGUUUGCAUCAGCCUUUUGACCGCAACUCACUCUUCAUGCUUCAGCCUAUACGUGUAUCCCGAAGGAACUUCCUGCGGUCAACUGGACCAGAUUAUGUUGUUCUCUGAUUCGACCACAUGUCAAAUUAUUCCAAGGAAUGUAAGAGAAGUGAACUAACUUCACCAGUUUAUAGUCCUGACAGACUAAAUAUACCGGGAUUUAAGUAACAUCAUGAUUAGGUCUUUCAUCUAAGUAUCAUGCCCCCAGGGGGACAUAUCAUAGACAUACAUAUUGGAAACGUCGAAGGUACUGAUAAGGUAAUUACUUUUCAUAGAUUGCCAUCUCAACAAUACUUUCCAUGAAGAGAAUUGGAUACAAUAUACAUCCCUUUGUCUAAGGAACGUCCGAGGAGUGAAGUGACUUCACCAGUUUAUAGUCUCAGCAGACCAAAUGUACUGGUAGCACCGGCAUUUCAUUAACAUCAAGAUGAGGUCUUUCAUCAAAGUAACAUGUCUUCCGGGGGACAUACAGCAGACAUACAGAUUGGAAACAUCUAAGGUCUUUAAUGCCUUUCAUAGAUUGCCAUAUCAACAACACUUUCUACGAAGAGGAUUGGAUACAAUAUACAUCCUCAUGUCAAACUCAGUUUUCAGAAAAAAAUCGUCUUCCCGAUUGUUUUUUGAAAAAAGACGGACUGGCUAAAGUGGGCGUAGCAUCUCUCAUAAAAAAUUAUGUGAUUGCAGUAUAUCUAAGAAAAUAUAACAGUAUUCUAACGAAGACACUUUAGUGACAUUAAUGAUCUAAAAAUAGAGGGCGUGGCACCUUCAAUAUGAAUAAAAAACAAAAAUUGUUAAAACUGGGAAAAUAUUAAAGCUAAAAUCAUUAAAUUUUGCACGACUAACUAUAAAAUGCAUAUGAACAGUGUGGGAGAAAUGCCUGGACUAAAAAAAGGGGGGCGUGGCAUUUCCCAUAUUAAUGAAAGGCACAAAUUUGUAAAACUGGGAAACUAUUAGAGCUAGAACUCUCAAAUUUUGCACGAACAACUUUGAAAUCAAUGUAAACAAAUUGUGUAAUAAAUUGGCGGAUUAAAAAAGGACGUGGCCCCUGUCAAAUAAAUUUAAGACAAAACUUUGUACAUCAGGCAAACUAUUAGCCUUAGAAUUUGUAUAACCGGGAAACUAUUGAAGCUAAAACUUUCAAAUUUUGCACGAGCAUCUUUGAAAUCCGUAUAAACAACUUGAGGGAAAAUAUCUGUACUUCAACAAGGGGGUCUGCCACCUCCCUCACGAAUUGAAUACAAAAAUUCGUAUAUCUGAAAACUUUUAAGAGCUAGAUUCCUCAAAUUUAACAUGAAUAACUUUAACAUCCAUGUGAACAGAAUAAUCAAACUUUAUACGAACAACUUUUGAAAAUGAUAUAAACGGACCAGCAGUAAGGGGACACAGCACCUGAUAUGAUAUCUUGAGGAAACGAGUUAAGUUAGAAACUUAAAAUUUUUUCAUAACGACUUAUAUAUAGAAAUGUAAUCGAUUACAAUUUUUCUAACGAUUCAAAUCGUUGGGGCUUGACAUAAUCAUGCAAAAUAUAAACGUUUCUCUUUUUUUCAAAUAUUACGAAAUUUUUACCAAAUUUCGUACCAACUAAACGUCUUCCGUCGGAAGUAAUUAAAAAUCAUUUGUAGCAUUUUUGUUUCAGCAAAAAAAAAAUGUCAUUGGAAACAUCAAACAAUUUAAUAAAUCGUGUAUUGAGUAUAAAAUUCAGAAUCAAAAAAAAUGGUUGUUAUGUUCAACUAAAAUUAAUUAAAAUUCUAUAAUGUUGAUGAUGUUUUAAUCAAACUUGACAGGUAGAUAGAUACUAUUUUCAAAACAGAAAACAAACAACAAUAAAAUUAACAAAUACUUAUUAGGAGAAAAAAAAACUAUAGAUAGUAAUUUGUUUGUAAAUAAGAAAAACUACAAGAAUAAUUUGAAAAUA